rnacentral:rRNA from 1 species
ACCGGUUGAUCCUGCCGGACCCGACCGCUAUCGGGGUGGGGCUAAGCCAUGCGAGUCGUACGCCUGGGGACCGCCAGGCGUGGCGCACGGCUCAGUAACACGUGCCUAACCUACCCUCGGGAGGGGGACAACCCCGGGAAACUGGGGCCAAUCCCCCAUAGGAGAAGGGUGCUGGAAAGCCCCUUCUCCGAAAGGGACUGCGGCCGAUCCGCCGCAGUCCGCCCGAGGAUGGGGGCACGGCCCAUCAUGGUAGUUGGCGGGGUAAUGGCCCGCCAAGCCGAAGACGGGUGGGGGCCGUGAGAGCGGGAGCCCCGAGAUGGGCACUGAGACAAGGGCCCAGGCCCUACGGGGUGCAGCAGGCGCGAAAACUCCGCAAUGCGGGAAACCGUGACGGGGCCACCCCGAGUGCCGCCCGAAGAGGGCGGCUUUUGCCCGGUCUAAAAAGCCGGGAGAAUAAGCGGGGGGCAAGUCUGGUGUCAGCCGCCGCGGUAAUACCAGCUCCGCGAGUGGUCGGGGUGUUUACUGGGCUUAAAGCGCCCGUAGCCGGCCCGGCAAGUCGCUCCUGAAAUCCCAGGGCUCAACCCUGGGGCAGGGGGCGAUACUGCCGGGCUAGGGGGCGGAAGAGGCCGCCGGUACUCCGGGGGUAGGGGCGAAAUCCGUUAAUCCCCGGAGGACCACCAGUGGCGAAAGCGGGCGGCCAGAACGCGCCCGACGGUGAGGGGCGAAAGCCGGGGGAGCAAAGGGGAUUAGAUACCCCUGUAGUCCCGGCCGUAAACGAUGCGGGCUAGCUGUCGGCUGGGCUUAGGGCCCGGCCGGUGGCGAAGGGAAACCGUUAAGCCCGCCGCCUGGGGAGUACGGCCGCAAGGCUGAAACUUAAAGGAAUUGGCGGGGGGGCACCACAAGGGGUGAAGCUUGCGGCUUAAUUGGAGUCAACGCCGGAAACCUCACCCGGGGCGACAGCAGGAUGAAGGCCAGGCUAACGACCUUGCCGGACGAGCUGAGAGGAGGUGCAUGGCCGUCGUCAGCUCGUGCCGUGAGGUGUCCGGUUAACCCGUGGAUGGGGGUGAUCUUUAAACCCGUAGGCGCGGGUGAUCUUUAUGGAGAUCCUUGAGUACUUUGUCGGGUUUCUCCUGGGGGAUGGCUACCUCUAUCACUACAAGAAGGAGGGGAAGUACCUCGUCAGGGUUGCUGACAGUAACAAGGAGUUCUUAGAGAUGCUUAGAACUGAAAUGUUGUCU